GGUCGUCGUCGUCGUCGUCGGGCGCCCGUGGUGGUGGUGGUGGUCGUCGUCGUCGGGGCGCCCGUGGUGGUGGUGGUCGUCGGGCGCCCGUGGUGGUGGUGGUCGUCGGGGCGCCCGUGGUGGUGGUGGUGGUGGUCGGGCGCCCGUGGUGGUGGUGGUGGUGGUCGGGCGCCCGUGGUGGUGGUGGUGGUGGUCGGGGCGCCCGUGGUGGUGGUGGUGGUGGUGGUCGGGGCGCCCGUGGUGGUGGUGGUCGUCGUCGUCGGGCGCCCGUGGUGGUGGUGGUCGUCGUCGUCGUCGGGGCGCCCGUGGUGGUGGUGGUCGUCGUCGGGCGCCCGUGGUGGUGGUGGUGGUCGUCGUCGUCGGGGCGCCCGUGGUGGUGGUGGUCGUCGUCGGGCGCCCGUGGUGGUGGUGGUCGUCGUCGGGGCGCCCGUGGUGGUGGUGGUCGUCGUCGUCGUCGUCGGGGCGCCCGUGGUGGUGGUGGUCGUCGUCGUCGUCGUCGGGGCGCCCGUGGUGGUGGUGGUGGUCGUCGUCGUCGGGCGCCCGUGGUGGUGGUGGUGGUGGUCGUCGUCGGGCGCCCGUGGUGGUGAUGGUGGUGGUCGUCGGGCGCCCGUGGUGGUGAUGGUGGUGGUCGUCGUCGGGCGCCCGUGGUGGUGGUCGUCGUUGGGGCGCCCGUGGUGGUGGUGGUGGUGGUGGUCGUGGUGGUCGUCGUGGUGGUGGUCGGGCGUCAGACGUGUCAGCCAGUGGUGGGGCGCCCGUGGUGGUGGUGGUGGUCGUCGUCGGGCGCCCGUGGUGGUGGUGGUGGUGGUGGUCGUCGUCGGGGCGCCCGUGGUGGUGGUGGUGGUCGUCGUGGUGGUGGUCGGGGCGUCAGACGUGUCAGCCAGUGGUGGGGCGCCCGUGGUGGUGGUGGUGGUCGUCGUCGCCGGGCGCCCGUGGUGCUGCUGGUGGUGGUCGUCGUCGUCGCCGGGGCGCCCGUGGUGCUGCUGGUGGUGGUCGUCGUCGUCGCCGGGGCGCCCGUGGUGCUGCUGGUGGUGGUCGUCGUCGCCGGGCGCCCGUGGUGGUGGUCGUCGUCGGGCGCAAGUGGUGGUGGUGGUGGUCGUCGUCGUGUCGGGCGCAAGUGGUGGUGGUGGUCGUCGUCGGGGCGCAAGUGGUGGUGGUGGUCGUCGUCGUCGGGGCGCAAGUGGUGGUGGUCGUCGCCGGGGCGCAAGUGGUGGUGGUCGUCGCCGGGGCGCAAGUGGUGGUGGUGGUGGUCUUCGUCGGGGCGCAAGUGGUGGUGGUGGUGGUGGUCGUCGUCGUCGGGGCGCAAGUGGUGGUGGUGCUGGUACUGGUGGUAGUCGUCGGGGCGCCAGGGGGUGUCGAUUCCGGUAUACGGCCCUUCAGGAAUUUCAUCAAAUCCCCACAACUCAAAGAUUUCUGUGUCAGCAUCAGUCACUUCGUCAUUCCGGAACCCACUGGGCUCCGUCGGUUCCUGGAUGACGGGCUCCACUAGAACUUGCUCAAAGUCCCAAAGCUCCCACAGGUUGGGGUUUUGGAGAGCUCUUGGGUGUCGAUCCCGCCUAGUUUGUGUUGCUGCAGUGGAACAAGCUGCCAGCAUCGUGGAUGUUUUCCCAGCAGAGUCUAAAUAAAUCACUUCAAAGAUUGAAUCCUGCAAAACAUACGGUCAUUAGCUCUCAUGCCUCAUUUUAAUAAACCGGAUCAUGUUUUAGACCAACCUUACCAAGUCUGCUGGGGUUGGGAUCUGCACAUACACUGCUCCUGGAGUCAUUGUUGUGAUUGCCUGCCGAACUACACCAUCUUUACCCAGAGAUUUUACCCUCUUCAGUCUGGUUCCAAGAGGCAGUUUCACAGUGACAUCUGUUGUUCUGCAAGUCACCAACGGUGGCAUCAGUUGCAGGGAUGUUGCAGGAUUCUCACAGGUGGCCAGACCAGUUACGUUUGCCUGCAGCAGAUGGUCAAAGUAACGAAGUCUCAGCUGACGAAACCAGGUUCCAUUUGAAACCUGGAGAGUGAAAAAAACACAACCGUCACCAGGGGGAAAAGUCAAUAUUUAACUCAUUCUAGCUCUUAUCUUUAAGCAGACUAUAUCAGAAGCAAAGUAAUCAGACAGUUUAUCGCUAAAUCAAAAUUAAAAAAGGGGAGUAGAAAUUAUGAACAUUUGGUAUUUAGGGUGAUAAUGAAAAUCAGAUAGAU
ensembl:lncRNA